GAUCCUGCCAGUAGUCAUAUGCUUGUCUCAAAGAUUAAGCCAUGCAUGUCUAAGUUCACACUGUUUCACGGUGAAACCGCGAAUGGCUCAUUAAAUCAGUCGAGGUUCCUUAGAUGACACGAUCCUACUUGGAUAACUGUGGCAAUUCUAGAGCUAAUACAUGCUUAUAAAGCUCCGACCUUCGGGAAAGAGCGCUUUUAUUAGUUCAAAACCAAUCGUCGUUCCUUCGGGGGCGGCGUACCUUCUGGUGACUCUGGAUAACUUUGUGCUGAUCGCAUGGCCUUGUGCCGGCGACGCAUCUUUCAAAUGUCUGCCCUAUCAAAUGUCGAUGGUACGUGAUAUGCCUACCAUGUUUGUAACGGGUAACGGGGAAUCAGGGUUCGAUUCCGGAGAGGGAGCAUGAGAAACGGCUACCACAUCCAAGGAAGGCAGCAGGCGCGCAACUUACCCACUCCCGGCACGGGGAGGUAGUGACGAAAAAUAACAAUACGGGACUCUUUCGAGGCCCCGUAAUUGGAAUGAGUACACUUUAAACCCUUUAACGAGGAUCUAUUGGAGGGCAAGUCUGGUGCCAGCAGCCGCGGUAAUUCCAGCUCCAAUAGCGUAUAUUAAAGUUGUUGCAGUUAAAAAGCUCGUAGUUGGAUCUCAGGUGCAGGCGGGCGGUCCGGCUCGCGCCGGUCACUGCUCGUAUCUCCUGCCCUACCGUUUGCCGGCUCUCUCCCGUGGGUGCUCUUCACUGAGCGUCCCGGGUGGCCGGUGCGUUUACUUUGAAAAAAUUAGAGUGUUCAAAGCAGGCCUCGGCAGCCUGAAUAAUGGUGCAUGGAAUAAUGGAAUAGGACCUCGGUUCUAUUUUGUUGGUUUUCGGAACGGAGGUAAUGAUUAACAGGGACAAACGGGGGCAUUCGUAUUGCGGCGUUAGAGGUGAAAUUCUUGGAUCGCCGCAAGACGAGCUACUGCGAAAGCAUUUGUCAAGAAUGUUUUCAUUAGUCAAGAACGAAAGUCAGAGGCGCGAAGACGAUCAGAUACCGUCGUAGUUCUGACCAUAAACGAUGCCAACUAGCGAUCCGCAGAAGUUGCUUUGAUGACUCUGCGGGCAGCUUCCGGGAAACCAAAGUUUUUGGGUUCCGGGGGAAGUAUGGUUGCAAAGCUGAAACUUAAAGGAAUUGACGGA
rnacentral:rRNA from 1 species